CCCAAACUAGAAAGAGUUUAGGGAAAUAAAAGGAAUCCACUCCUAAUCUACUUAACCACACGAACACGUGCACCCCGGAGUAAUAUCUAAAAGGAAAAAAAUAGAAUUGCGACUUUUAAGGAAGGAAAGAGUUUGUAUAAGGUGUCAACCUUAUAUUGUAGAAUUAAAGUACACCUCAAAAAACCCAUCAAUAAAGGCAUAUUGUAGAAUUAAAGUACACCUCAAAAAACCCAUCAAUAAAGG
rnacentral:lncRNA from 1 species